AACGAACGCUGGCGGCAGGCUUAACACAUGCAAGUCGAACGCCUGUAGCAAUACAGGAGUGGCAGACGGGUGAGUAACACGUGGGAACGUGCCCAAAGGUACGGAACAACUCCGGGAAACUGGAGCUAAUACCGUAUGUGCCCGAAAGGGGAAAGAUUUAUCGCCUUUGGAUCGGCCCGCGUCUGAUUAGCUAGUUGGUGGGGUAAUGGCCUACCAAGGCGACGAUCAGUAGCUGGUCUGAGAGGAUGGCCAGCCACACUGGGGCUGAGACACGGCCCAGACUCCUACGGGAGGCAGCAGUGGGGAAUAUUGGAAAAUGGGCGCAAGCCUGAUCCAGACAUGCCGCGGGAGUGAUGAAGGCCUUAGGGUUGUAAAGCUCUUUCGCCAGGGACGAUAAUGACGGUACCUGGAUAAGAAGCCCCGGCUAACUUCGUGCCAGCAGCCGCCGUAA
rnacentral:rRNA from 1 species